rnacentral:rRNA from 1 species
UGGGGAAUAUUGCACAAUGGGGGAAACCCUGAUGCAGCGACGCCGCGUGAGCGAUGAAGGCCUUCGAGUCGUAAAGCUCUGUCCUAUGGGAAGAUAAUGACGGUACCAUAGAAGAAAGCCCCGGCUAAUUACGUGCCAGCAGCCGCGGUAAUACGUAAGGGGCGAGCGUUGUCCGGAAUUAUUGGGCGUAAAGAGUGCGUAGGCGGCAAAUUAAGUCAGAUGUGAAAACUAAGGGCUCAACCCAUAGAUUGCAUCUGAAACUGAUAUGCUUGAGUCAAGGAGAGGAAAGUGGAAUUCCUAGUGUAGCGGUGGAAUGCGUAGAUAUUAGGAGGAAUACCGGUGGCGAAGGCGACUUUCUGGACUUGAACUGACGCUGAGGCACGAAAGCGUGGGGAGCAAACAGG